UACAGAGGGGGCAAGCGUUGUUCGGAAUUACUGGGCGUAAAGGGCGCGUAGGCGGCCUGUUAAGUCGAACGUGAAAUCCCUGGGCUCAACCCAGGAACUGCGUCCGAUACUGGCAGGCUUGAAUUCGGGAGAGGGAUGCGGAAUUCCAGGUGUAGCGGUGAAAUGCGUAGAUAUCGGAAGGAACAUCAGUGGCGAAGGCGACUUCCUGGACCAGUACCGACGUUCAGGCACGAAAGCGUGGGGAGCAAACAGG
rnacentral:rRNA from 1 species